UACGUAGGUGGCAAGCGUUGUCCGGAUUUACUGGGCGUAAAGAGCGCGCAGGCGGUCGUUCAAGUCGGAUGUGAAAGCCCCCGGCUCAACUGGGGAGGGUCAUUCGAUACUGAUCGACUCGAAGGCAGGAGAGGGAAGCGGAAUUCCCGGUGUAGUGGUGAAAUGCGUAGAUAUCGAGAGGAACACCUGCGGCGAAGGCGGGUUGCUGGGCUGAUACUGACGCUGAGGCGCGAAAGCCAGGGGAGCGAACGGG
rnacentral:rRNA from 1 species